GACGAACGCUGGCGGCGUGCUUAACACAUGCAAGUCGAACGGAAAGGCCCUGCUUUUGUGGGGUGCUCGAGUGGCGAACGGGUGAGUAACACGUGAGUAACCUGCCCUUGACUUUGGGAUAACUUCAGGAAACUGGGGCUAAUACCGGAUAGGAGCUCCUGCUGCAUGGUGGGGGUUGGAAAGUUUCGGCGGUUGGGGAUGGACUCGCGGCUUAUCAGCUUGUUGGUGGGGUAGUGGCUUACCAAGGCUUUGACGGGUAGCCGGCCUGAGAGGGUGACCGGCCACAUUGGGACGGGGAUACGGCCCAGACCCCUACGGGGGGCAGCAGUGGGGAAAUUUGCACAAUGGGGGGAAGCCUGAUGCAGCAACGCCGGGGGGGGGAUGACGGCCUUCGGGUUGUAAACCGCUUUCGCCUGGGACGAAGCGGGAGUGACGGUAAUGGGUAAAGAAACACCGGCUAACUACGU
rnacentral:rRNA from 1 species